CUUAUCGUUCUCAGGAAGACGAAUAUCAACAUUUAAAGACACAAAUACACGCUACAUAGCUUUCCUCAACUUUCUGCUUUUCAUGAUCAUGCUCUGCGGAAAGCCCUCCAGACAUGUGAGCCUGCUCUCCCUGCCCGCCGCUGCCUUCCCAGCCUGGCUGCCACCUUCUGCACACAGACAAAAACAGCAUGAGAUUGGGAGUCCACAUGGAUAAACAUUUACCGCGCCUUCUGAUAGACAACGCUGACACCUGCCCCCUGGGGAGACCCUUCGCCGAGCCAGUGCACUGUUCCACGAGAGACUUCCCUUAUUUUAUC